rnacentral:pre_miRNA from 1 species
AAUAGAGGACGCCGUUGACUUUUUUUCACAUGUUUGACCAUUGUCUUAUUUAAAAAAUUUACGUAAUUAUAAUUUAUUUUGUUAUGAGUUGUUUUAUCACUUAUAGUACUUUAAGUGUGAUUUAUAUAUUAUAUAUUUGUAUAAAAAUUUUGAAUAAGACGGAUGGUCAAACAUGUGAGAAAAAGUUAACUGCAUCAUCUAUU